rnacentral:rRNA from 1 species
UCGGGAAUAUUGCGCAAUGGAGGAAACUCUGACGCAGUGACGCCGCGUAUAGGAAGAAGGUUUUCGGAUUGUAAACUAUUUUAGACAGGGAAGAAAAUGACAGUACCUGUAGAAUAAGCUCCGGCUAACUACGUGCCAGCAGCCGCGGUAAUACGUAGGGAGCAAGCGUUAUCCGGAUUUAUUGGGUGUAAAGGGUGCGUAGACGGGAAAGCAAGUUAGUUGUGAAAGCCCUCGGCUUAACUGAGGAACUGCAACUAAAACUAUUUUUCUUGAGUGCGGGAGAGGAAAGCGGAAUUCCUAGUGUAGCGGUGAAAUGCGUAGAUAUUAGGAGGAACACCAGUGGCGAAGGCGGCUUUCUGGACUGUAACUGACGUUGAGGCACGAAAGUGUGGGGAGC